rnacentral:lncRNA from 1 species
GAUGCAAAACUACCAGAAACGCAGGUUCGCUGCAACAAUGUUGUGUUCAGCAUAGUACAGAGGACUAGCCUCCGCAAAUUUCCACCUCUCACACACAAGCAGCUACUGCCCUCAACCACCUGGAUUUGCACGGACGCCCCGUCCCCACCUCCCGGCUCCUGGGCACCCGGCCAGUGCCUUUGGCGCACUCAAGACAGGGGCAAAUGCUUGACACUGGAAAACCCCCGAAACGCUACAGACGACCCAGGCCAGGAAUCCAGGGGAAGACUUGAUCUCCGACGGCACGAAUGCCGGAGACGGCUCUCGAAGGGUCUCCCGACAGGUCCUAGCGCCCGCCGGCUGGAAGAGGUCCCGACAGGGUUAACCAACAGCCGCGCUCGCCAGCCAGCAGGGGACCGCGAGCCCACGGCCUCCGGAGCCGCGACGCGAGCGGCCAGGGCCCUCAGAGAAGGGUCAGCGGCAGAACCGCGACGCCCGAGCAACUUUCAGUGCUUCCGGCGUGCACCAGCCGAGCAGCGCCCCGCAGAACUCUCAACUCAGCUCCAGAAGCCCAGGCCCCUAACGCGUUCGUUUCUCCGACACCUGGCUCGGAGACCUAAAGACCGACAGCCGCCUGUCCCAGCACACACCAUCUGCAACCCUACCUCCGCAAAAGCAAAUGGCCCUUCGGCCGAGAAAUGUCGCCAAACUGCCGUCUUCCCUCCUCGGCCGCUGCGACAAACACCCCACAAAAUGGCGGCAGCGCCGUCGCCCUACAAUCCCCCGGUCGCCUCUAGCACCACCUACGCCGCGCGAACGCGCCUGCGUGACAGAGCCUUGCGCGCUCCCGCCGCUCCACCUAAGGGCGGGGCUCCACGUGACGUAAGAGCGGGACCCGAGCCUCCACACUGCGGCUGCGCAGCCCCGGCAUUUUUUUCCCACCCACCCCCACCAACGACCCCGGUCCCGGGGCCUCUGGGCCGGGAGGGUGUUUACGUUCUCUACGGGCUUGGGUGGAACCGGGAAGGAACGCCCGUGUCCCGCCCUAAGUGUGUAACGCGUGUCUGCCCCCUCCCCCGGGGCAACUCCCGAAGCAGCCGGCACGCGACAACGGCCCCAAAACCGCCCAGGGCGGGGCCUGGCUGGUGCCUGGGCUGUUCCGUGGACUGGGUGCUUGCAGUCCAGCCCACUUGGCGCUUCCAGUCUAAGGUGGAUUCGGAUAAGAGGCUGUCUCAGAAAACAAGCUCAAGGGGUGCUUAUCUUUUCAAGGCAUGUGCUCCUAUUCAGAACAAAACAAAAACCCGGAGGUUUCAGUGGAGACUCCUGACAAGGUUUUCCUGUUAG